AGGGCACACAAAGGAUGCCUAGGUAGUAAGAGCCGAUGAAGGACGUGGUAAGCUGCGAUAAGCCUAGAUAAGUUGCAAUCGAACGUAAGAGUCUAGGAUUUCCGAAUGGAGCAAUCUAUUAAGAUGGAGUCUUAAUACGAAAGAGGGAACCGCGUGAACUGAAACAUCUAAGUAACGCGAGGAAAAGAAAGUAAAAACGAUACCCAAAGUAGCGGCGAGCGAACUGGGUCAAGCCUAAACCUUAAAUAUGUCAAGGAUACAGCCGUUGUAUUUAAGGGGUUGAGGGACAAAGUAGUGAAGAACUGUAAGAUAUUCAAUAUAGUGUAUUGAUGAAUUAGAAUUGUAUGGAAAGAUAAACCGCAGAAGGUGAGAGUCCUGUAUAAGUAAAUCCUUACACAUAUAACUUUGCUCCCAAGUAACAUGGAACACGAGGAAUUCUGUGUGAAUCAGUGAGGACCAUAUCUCAUAAGGCUAAAUACUCUUACUAACCGAUAGCGCAUAGUACCGUGAGGGAAAGGUGAAAAGAACCCCUGGAGGGGAGUGAAAUAGAACCUGAAAUUGUGUGCUUACAAGCGGUCAGAGCCCAUUUGGGUGAUGGCGUGCCUUUUGGAGAAUGAUCCUGCGAGUUACGUUAAACGGCGAGGUUAAGUAUAACGGAGCCGAAGGGAAACCAAGUCUUAAUAGGGCGAUAUAGUCGUUUGGCGUAGACGCGAAACCUGGUGAUCUAAACCUGUCCAGGAUGAAGCUGUGGUAAGACACAGUGGAGGUCCUAACCCACCGCCGUUGAAAAGUUGGGGGAUGAGGUAGGUUUAGGGGUGAAAAGCCAAUCGAACCAGGAGAUAGCUCGUUCUCUCCGAAAUGCAUCUAGGUGCAGCCUUGAGUGUUCAAUUAUGGGGGUAGAGCACUGAAUGAUCUAGGGGGCAUAUUGCUUACUGAAAUCAAUCAAACUCCAAAUACCAUAAUUUAUAGCUCAGGAGUGAGACCAUGGGAGUUAACUUCCAUUGUCAAAAGGGAAACAACCCAGACCACCAGCUAAGGUCCCUAAUUAUAACUAAGUGGGAAAGGAGGUGGAGAUUCACAAACAACUAGGAGGUUGGCUUAGAAGCAGCCAUACCUUUAAAGAGUGCGUAAUAGCUCACUAGUCGAGAGUCUCUGCGCCGACAAUGUAACGGGGCUAAGUUAUAAACCGAAGCUGUGGAAUCCUUAUGGAUUGGUAGGAGAGCGUUCUGUAGGCUGUUGAAGAAGAAGGGUAACCAACUUUGGAGGUAUCAGAAGUGAGAAUGCAGGAAUAAGUAGCGAGAAAGGGGGCGAGAAUCCCCCUCGCCGGAAGACCAAGGUUUUCAGGGUAAAGCUUGUCUUCCCUGAGUAAGCCGGGACCUAAGCCCAGGCUAUAAUGCGUAGGCGAAUGGAAAACAGAUUAAUAUUUCUGUGCCAGUCAUUUAUUGUGAUGGAGGGACGCAGAAGGGUAUGUGCGCGGACGAUCGGUUGUGUCCGUAGAAGUAUGUAGGAUGACUUAGUAGGUAAAUCCAUUAAGUUAUAUCUGAGGUAUGAUAUACAGUCGUAAGAUGAAUGUACAAAUCCCACGCUGCCAAGAAAAACUUCUAACGUUAAUAUAUGACUGCCCGUACUGUAAACCGACACAGGUGGUCAGGAUGAGAAAUCUAAGGCGGACAGGCUAACUCUCGUUAAGGAACUCUGCAAAAUAACCUCGUAACUUCGGGAGAAGAGGAGCCCUUGUGUGUGAGUAUACACGCGAUACAAAGCGCACGAGGGUCGCAGUGAAGAGGCUCAAGCAACUGUUUAACAAAAACACAGGUCUAUGCUAAGCUGUAAGGCGAUGUAUAUGGGCUGACACCUGCCCAGUGCUGGAAGGUUAAGAGGAGGAGUGAGAGCUCCGAAUUGAAGCCCCAGUGAACGGCGGCCGUAACUAUAACGGUCCUAAGGUAGCGAAAUUCCUUGUCGGGUAAGUUCCGACCUGCACGAAUGGUGUAAUGAUUUGAGCGCUGUCUUGACGGGAGGCCUGGUGAAAUUGUAUUACCGGUGAAGAUACCGGUUACCUACAGUAGGACGGAAAGACCCCAUGGAGCUUUACUGUAGCUUGGUAUUGGGUUUUGGCAUUGCAUGUAUAGGAUAGUUGGGAGACUAUGAUGGUAUGGCGCUAGCUGUAUCGGAGUCAUCGGUGGAAUACCAACCAUUCAAUGCUGAAAUUCUAAUCUGUGGUUUGUAGCCACGGAGACAGUGCUAGGUGGGCAGUUUGACUGGGGCGGUCGCCUCCGAAAGAGUAACGGAGGCGUUCAAAGGUUCUCUCAGGUUGGAUGGAAAUCAACCAUAGAGUGCAAUGGCAUAAGAGAGCUUGACUGCAAGACUGACGGGUCGAGCAGAUGCGAAAGCAGGACAUAGUGAUCCGGCGAUUCCGAAUGGAAGGGUCGUCGCUCAACGGAUAAAAGCUACCCUGGGGAUAACAGGCUGAUCCUACCCGAGAGUCCAUAUCGACGGUAGGGUUUGGCACCUCGAUGUCGGCUCAUCGCAUCCUGGGGCUGGAGAAGGUCCCAAGGGUUGGGCUGUUCGCCCAUUAAAGCGGUACGUGAGCUGGGUUCAGAACGUCGUGAGACAGUUCGGUCCCUAUCCACUGUAGGCGUUAGAAUAUUGAGAAGACCUGUCCUUAGUACGAGAGGACCGGGAUGGACAAACCUCUGAUGUACCAGUUGUCACGCCAGUGGCACAGCUGGGUAGUCACGUUUGGAAUAGAUAACCGCUGAAAGCAUCUAAGCGGGAAACUAACUUCAAGAUAAGUAUUCU
rnacentral:rRNA from 1 species